CCCUAGCCCUGAUAGCAGCGGCAUCCUUUUUUGAGGCGAUUUUUCUUCGCCUCAAAAAAGAUAUGGCGGAUAGCAGGAUUAGCU
rnacentral:sRNA from 1 species